UGUACCAAAUGUACUAGGAACGGUUUGUUUGGACAUAUGGAGACUUGCAGUCUCCACUCCCUGUUUCUGUUCUUCAUCUGUACUCAACUCCCUACUUUCUCCUAGUUUCUGGUGCAUGACAACAAAGCUCAUAAGAAGUUGCUGAGGCAUCACGAAUUGUUUGUAAUGUCAAAGAAGAUAGAUAUGCAUGAAUAUUAGAAGCUUUCUAACUAAUAAAGGGGGGUUGGGUUGUUUUAACUAUGACGCGACGGAAAUGUCUAUAUAACCUCACUAGUUAUUGUAAUCGUGGCUGGUUCUCUCUGGAGACAGGCCGCUCUCUAUUGUUGUGUGCACUCUUCAAUAAAGAGCUUGUAUUGGACCUUGCUGGUGUUGCCUGUCUCUCACUCUGCGGUCAGACAACGAACCUUGCCGUCUGGGUUAAAAAGUCCCCGACAAAUUUGGCGACUCUGCCGGGACUCGUCUGACUCUCUGGUGCGGGAUCAGACUCCGAAGCAAUGCAGCGCGCAUCCUCUGGCUUCGAGGAGCCUUGCCCGGUAACCUGAUCCCUGCAUCGGCGAUAAGGCGAGUUCUGUGAACCAGCUGAAGCCCGUAGAAACCCAGCAAUGUCCACCUACCCGUUGAGUAGGAUCCAGGUCUUCGGGGUUCGAGUCCCUGGGGAGGUCAGGUCUUCGGGGUUCGAGUCCCUGAAUAAGGUAAAGAAGUGCUACCUAAAGACCGUAGCAGCCCUGCCAUUCAUUGAAACCAGGAGACUGAGUCUACGUAAAGUCCAUCAACGAAAGACUGCUUUGACUCCAUGCUGGAAAGGCCCUUUCCAAGUCCUGUUAACCACCAACUCUGCUGUGAAGUGCCAAGGACUGCCUACCUGGACUCAUGCUUCUCACUGCAAAAAAACCCCUCCACCUCGGGAGGACUCUCCGACUGAUGAUCAGCCUAUUCCUCCUUCUAACUCUGCUGUGCCUUCUGGACAGCAGGGAAAAGAAAAAAAA